rnacentral:rRNA from 1 species
GACGAACGCUGGCGGCGUGCUUAACACAUGCAAGUCGAGCGGUAAGGCCCUUUCGGGGGUACACGAGCGGCGAACGGGUGAGUAACACGUGGGUGACCUGCCCUCAGCUCUGGGAUAAGCCCUGGGAAACCGGGUCUAAUACCGGAUAUGACUCCAUGACGCAUGUUGUGGGGUGGAAAGCCUUGUGCGGCUGAGGAUGGGCCCGCGGCCUAUCAGCUUGUUGGUGGGGUGAUGGCCUACCAAGGCGACGACGGGUAGCCGGCCUGAGAGGGCGACCGGCCACACUGGGACUGAGACACGGCCCAGACUCCUACGGGAGGCAGCAGUGGGGAAUCUUGCGCAAUGGGCGAAAGCCUGACGCAGCGACGCCGCGUGA